rnacentral:rRNA from 1 species
UACGGGGGGGGCAAGCGUUGUUCGGAAUUACUGGGCGUAAAGGGCUCGUAGGUGGCCAACUAAGUCAGACGUGAAAUCCCUCGGCUUAACCGGGGAACUGCGUCUGAUACUGGAUGGCUUGAGUUUGGGAGAGGGAUGCGGAAUUCCAGGUGUAGCGGUGAAAUGCGUAGAUAUCGGAAGGAACACCGGUGGCGAAAGCGGCGCGCUGGACCUCUACUGACGCUGAGGCGCGAAAGCCAGGGGAGCAAACGGG